GAGUGAUGGCGGCAUGGCGGUGCGGCGGCGGCUGCGAACACCUUGAGGACGGGUCGCAUUAUGUUGCCCAGGCUGGACUUGAACUUCUGGGCUCGAGCAAUUCUCCCACCUCAGCCUACCAAGCAGCUGGGACUACAGGUCUGCACCACUGCACCCCACCCAUUCAAGUCCACAUCCCCAGAAACGAGGAUAAUGCUUGGCACAAGGUAGGCAUUUAAUACAUAUAUGUUGAAUGUAUGAAUAAAUAUACUGGCUCUUUCUCAAGGCCAGAGAAGCCUCUCUUCAUCUUCCCAGGACUUCCAUUACCUACUUUUUUUCUGGAGGGCGGGGGGGAAUAAUUUCAACCUACAGAAAAGAUGCAGAUGCAAGAAUAAUGAAAGGAACUCUUAGAUACCCUUUAACCAAAUUCACCAAUAAUGUUUUAGUUUGUAAAAUCUAAUUUGAAAUAAUUUUUUUAAAAAUUUAUUUUCUCCUCAAAUUUCUUUUUCUUUUUCUUUGGCUUAAGAAUCUUCAUGUUUUUAUUUAUUUAUUUAUUUAUUUUUUGUUUUUGUUUUUUUGAGACAGAGUCUCACUCUGUUGCCCAGCCUGGAGUGCAGUGGCAUUAUCUAGACUCACUGCAACCUCCACCUCCUGUGUUCAAGUGAUUCUUGUGCCUCAGCCUCCUGAGUAGCUGGGAUUACCAGUGCACGCCACCACGCCAGGCUACUUUUUGUAUUUUUAGUAGAGACAGGGUUUCGCCAUGUUGGCCAGCCUGGUCUCGAACUCCUGACCUCAGGUGAUCUGCCUGCCAUGGCCUCCCAAAGUGCUGGGAUUACAGGCUCAUGCCUGUAAUCACUGCACCCAGCCUCAAAUUCCUUUUUUACCAUGAAAUAAUUUCAAAUUUAUAGAUUUGCAAGAAAAACACAAAUAAUACAAAGAACUACCUUAUACCCUUCACCCAGAUUUCCUGAUUAUUAAUCAUUUACAUUUGUCUGUUUUUCUUUCAUGUACCAUUAUUUUAUUCCUGAUACAUUUGAGAUUAAGUUGCAGACAUGUUGACAAAUUACCCCUAAAUACUUCAGUGUGUAUUUCCAAAAACAAGGAUACUUUUCCAUAGAACCUCAAUACUCUCAUCAAAAUCAGGGUAUUAACAUUGCUACAAUACUUUAAUCCACAAAUUCCACUUAAAUUUCAACAAUUGCAGGGAUAGCAUUAGGAGAAAUACCUAAUGUAGAUGACAGGUUGAUGGGUGCAGCAAACCACCAUGGCAUGUCUAUACCUAUGUAACAAACCUGCACGUUCUGCACGUGUAUCCCAGAACUUAAAGUAUAAUAAAAAAAUUUUCAACAAUU
rnacentral:lncRNA from 10 species